rnacentral:rRNA from 1 species
CUUAGUGGCGGACGGGUGAGUAACGCGUGGGUAACCUGCCUCACACUGGGGGAUAACAGUUAGAAAUAGCUGCUAAUACCGCAUAAGCACACGGUUCCGCAUGGAACAGUGUGAAAAACUCCGGUGGUGUGAGAUGGACCCGCGUCUGAUUAGCCAGUUGGCGGGGUAACGGCCCACCAAAGCGACGAUCAGUAGUCGGCCUGAGAGGGUGAACGGCCACAUUGGGACUGAGACACGGCCCAAACUCCUACGGGAGGCAGCAUG